rnacentral:rRNA from 1 species
CCUACGGGAGGCAGCAGUGGGGAAUAUUGCACAAUGGGGGAAACCCUGAUGCAGCGACGCCGCGUGAGUGAAGAAGUAUUUCGGUACGUAAAGCUCUAUCAGCAGGGAAGAAAAUGACGGUACCUGACUAAGAAGCCCCGGCUAACUACGUGCCAGCAGCCGCGGUAAUACGUAGGGGGCAAGCGUUAUCCGGAUUUACUGGGUGUAAAGGGAGCGUAGACGGUUAAUCAAGUCAGAAGUGAAAACCCAGGGCCCAACCUUGGGACUGCUUUUGAAACUGAGUAGCUAGAGUGCAGGAGAGGUAAGCGGAAUUCCUAGUGUAGCGGUGAAAUGCGUAGAUAUUAGGAGGAACACCAGUGGCGAAGGCGGCUUACUGGACUGUAACUGACGUUGAGGCUCGAAAGCGUGGGGAGCAAACAGGAUUAGAUACCCUAGUAGUC